rnacentral:rRNA from 1 species
GGGUUCGGCCCUCAGCUGACGGCUCAGUAACACGUGGAUAAUCUGCCCUUAGGUGGAGGAUAAUCUCGGGAAACUGAGAAUAAUACUCCAUAGAUCUAUGAGGCUGGAAUGCACAUAGAUUGAAAAUUCCGGUGCCUAAGGAUGAGUCUGCGGACUAUCAGGUAGUAGUCAGGGUAAUGGCCUGACUAGCCUACGACGGAUACGGGUUGUGAGAGCAAUAACCCGGAGAUGAUAUCUGAGACACGAUAUCAGGCCCUACGGGGCGCAGCAGGCGCGAAAACUUCACAAUGCGCGAAAGCGCGAUGAGGGAAUCCCAAGUGCUUGCACGUAAGUGUAAGCUGUUUCUAUGUUUAAAACGCAUGGAGGCGAAGAGCUGGGUAAGACGGGUGCCAGCCGCCGCGGUAAUACCUGCAGCUCUAGUGGUGUCCGCUAUUAUUGGGCCUAAAACGUCCGUAGCCGGCUUAUUAAAUGCCUGGGUAAAUCGUACGGCUUAACCGUACGAAUUCCGGGUAGACUGAUAAGCUUGGGACCGGGAGAAGCUAGAGGUACUCCUGGGGUAGAGGUGACAUUUUGUAAUCCUAGGGGGAUCACCAGUGGCGAAGGCGUCUAGCUAGAACGGGUUU